CCACCGAAUCCACUACUACACCCCUGUGACUCUUGAGAAGCAAAUCAUUUUUGUGGAGUAUAUGCUAUGAAAGGCAAAUCUUUCUUACAUAAUAGCUCAUCAAAGUUAUGAAACUCCUUGCCCACAUGUUUGUCUUCUUCCUAAACAUCUAGAAUAGGAGGUACAAAUGGUGGGGAUUUUGGAGAAGGUAGUGGUGAAUGAAAAUGAUAAAAAAUUAGAAGUAAAAAU
rnacentral:lncRNA from 1 species